UGGUGAAAUCUCCUAGCUCAACUAGGAAACUGCCAUUGAUACUGUAGGGCUUGAAUUAUUAGGAAGUAACUAGAAUAUGUAGUGUAGCGGUGAAAUGCUUAGAUAUUACAUGGAAUACCAAUUGCGAAGGCAGGUUACUACUAAUACAUUGACGCUGAUGGACGAAAGCGUGGGUAGCGAACAGGAUUAGAUACCCUGGUAGUCCACGCCGUAAACGAUGGAUACUAGCUGUUCGGAGCAAUCUGAGUGGCUAAGCGAAAGUGAUAAGUAUCCCACCUGGGGAGUACGAACGCAAGUUUGAAACUCAAAGGAAUUGACGGGGGCCCGCACAAGCGGUGGAGCAUGUGGUUUAAUUCGAUGAUACGCGAGGAACCUUACCAAGGCUUAAAUGUAGAUUGACCGGUUUGGAAACAGACUUUUCGCAAGACAAUUUACAAGGUGCUGCAUGGUUGUCGUCAGCUCGUGCCGUGAGGUGUCAGGUUAAGUCCUAUAACGAGCGCNACCCCUG
rnacentral:rRNA from 1 species